rnacentral:rRNA from 1 species
UACGUAGGGGGCAAGCGUUGUCCGGAAUUAUUGGGCGUAAAGGGCGCGUAGGUGGCGUCGUAAGUCGGGUGUGAAAUCUCGGGGCUUAACUCCGAAACUGCAUUCGAUACUGCGGUGCUUGAGGACUGGAGAGGAGACUGGAAUUUACGGUGUAGCAGUGAAAUGCGUAGAGAUCGUAAGGAAGACCAGUGGCGAAGGCGGGUCUCUGGACAGUUCCUGACACUGAGGCACGAAGGCCAGGGGAGCAAACGGG